rnacentral:lncRNA from 1 species
AAAAAAUAUAAUGAAUUGCAUAUCUAUACCAAUCUAUACCAAUACAUGAUUUCUCAUGGUCAAAUCCAACGUGGAUGCCCGACCUUAAUUUGAGGAUGGUGAUACUCACUAUUUAUUUUAAAUUUUUCUCUAUUCUUUUUUAUCUUAGGAAAACCCUCCCUCUCCCUCACAGCCACAUCAUUUAACUUUUUUCUCUCUCUCUUUUUUCCAAAUCGUAACUCUUACUUUUUUUUAUUUCCCAAACUCAAUCUUACCUUUUUUUUUUAUUUCCCAAACUGACAGUGGCAUCUCUCUCUUCCCUCAUCUCAUCUAUGAAGCGGUUUGGGUGGAAGGUUUUAUAUCUCUCCCUCCAUAAUUUUAGAAUUUCUUUUUCUCUCAUCCUUUUCCUCUUGCUCGCUACUCGGAGCCCUUCGGCUCUCAUCCGUUGUUCCUCAUGCAUCCUCAAAAAGGAUGGUGUAUGGUGCCAUCACUGUCUGCCCUAUUCUUAACAAUCAUGAAAUAUCCAUAUUUUUAUAUUUUUAUUUCUGUUAUAAUUUUUUUUAUUAUCUACCCGUUGUAUAGUGCUGGUUAUUUCACUAGUAUAUAUAUAUAUAUAUAUAUAUAUAUAUAUAUAUAUAUAUAUAUAUAUAUAUAUAUAUAGUAGGUCUUGUGUGCUAUUAGGAGCACGAAAGUCUCCGUGCUCCUAAGUCGUUUUCGAUGAUAAAGCUUCCGAAUCGACGAUCGGCUCUAUUAGGCUUGAUCUAGCAUAUUUAAAGUAUCUAGAAAAUAAAUUUUGUGACUUUUCUAUAUUAUUUACCUAACGAUCGAAAGGGUUCAAAAUCAAUAAUUUUAAUUUUCUUUCUAAUUAUCUAUCCGUCACAUCGCACGAAUUACUACAUGUACGUAGAAAAUGAUCAGUAGAGCAAAUUUUAAUUUUAAUUUUAUUUCAAGAAAUAGGUAGCGCGCUACCCGCUUCAUUCAUUAGGAAAAUGAACUAGGCUUACAUAAUGGAGGCAGCCAAGGCCUCCGAAAAAUUUUAAUUUUAGUGUAUAGUUUAUUUUGUCUG